rnacentral:rRNA from 1 species
CGGAGAUAGCUGGUUCUCCUCGAAAUAGCUUUAGGGCUAGCCUCAUGAGAGUCUUAUGGAGGUAGAGCACUGAAUUGCCUAGGGGGCGUCAAAGCUUACCAAAGCAUAUCAAACUCCGAAUGCCAUCAAGAUGAUUCAUGGGAGUCAGACCAUACGAGAUAAGUUGGAUGGUCAAAAGGGAAAGAGCCCAGACCUACAGCUAAGGUCCCAAAGUACGUGUUAAGUGGAAAAGGAUGUGGGGAUUCUAAGACAACUAGGACGUUGGCUUAGAAGCAGCCAUUCAUUGAAAGAGUGCGUAAUAGCUCACUAGUCGAGAGUCCCUGCGCCGAAAAUGUCCGGGGCUGAAACACGACACCGAAGCUUAGGAAUGUGUAAACAUUGGUAGAGGAGCAUUGCUAGCGGGAUGAAGCCAUACCGUAAGGAGUGGUGGACUGCUAGGAAGAGAGAAUGCCGGAAUGAGUAGCGAGAUGAAGGUGAGAAUCCUUCAGGCCGAAUAUCUAAGGUUUCCAGAGUAAAGCUGAUCUGCUCUGGGUAAGUCGGGACCUAAGGCGAGGUCGAAAGACGUAGUCGAUGGAUAACAGGUUGAAAUUCCUGUACCGCAUAUAAACAGAACUGUGGGGACACAGACAGGGAAUGGAAUCCGGGAAUGGAAAUCCCGGUGCAAGCGAGGUAGGAGUGCUGUUGGCAAAUCCGCAGCACGAUCUGAAGACGUGACGCGUACCGAACAUAAGUAGGGAAGUCCAGGCCCCUGGCUGUCAAGAAAAGCCGCUAUUGUUUUAUAUGUGCCCGUACCGCAAACCGACACAGGUGGAUGAGGAGAGAAUCCUAAGGCCGACGGGAGAAGUAUUGUUAAGGAACUCGGCAAAAUGACUCCGUAACUUCGGGAGAAGGAGUGCCAUGAGAGUGGCCGCAGAGAAAUGGCCCAAGCAACUGUUUAGCAAAAACACAGGUCUAUGCAAAACCGCAAGGUGAAGUAUAUGGGCUGACGCCUGCCCGGUGCUGGAAGGUUAAGGGGAGAGGUUAGCGCAAGCGAAGCUUUGAACUUAAGCCCCAGUAAACGGCGGCCGUAACUAUAACGGUCCUAAGGUAGCGAAAUUCCUUGUCGGGUAAGUUCCGACCCGCACGAAAGGCGUAAUGAUUUGGGCACUGUCUCAACGAUACACCCGGUGAAAUUGAAAUACCAGUGAAGAUGCUGGUUACCUGCGCCAGGACGGAAAGACCCCAUGGAGCUUUACUCCAGUUUGAUACUGGGAUUCGGUAUUGCAUGUACAGGAUAGGUGGGAGGCUAGGAGAUGGUAACGCCAGUUGCCAUGGAGCCGCUGUUGGGAUACCACCCUUGCAGUAUUGGGUUUCUAACCAGCCGCCGUGACCCGGCGGUGGGACAAUGCCAGACGGGGAGUUUGACUGGGGCGGUCGCCUCCGAAAGGGUAUCGGAGGCGCCCAAAGGUUCCCUCAGAAUGGACGGAAACCAUUCGAAGAGUGCAAAGGCAGAAGGGAGCUUGACUGCGACACCGACGG